AGGCCUUUCUCUGAGCUCUGCGGAGGCCAGUAGGAACCUAAGGAAUUGCCAGGUGACUCCAUGUGAAGCUACCCAGGUACCAGGAUCUGAACGUGUUAACACUGGACACUCAAAGUGGACAGAAGGGCAGACAGGCCUGGAAAGAUUGCUCCAUGUCCAGCAAAUUCCCUGUGGCCUCAUGGUGUUGCUUGUAGGUCUGGAUAGACCCUCCGUGGUUUCUGCCCAUCAUUUUUGCCUGGCUCUCACGUCCAUGGACCACCUCUCCAGAGAGCUGCUCUCAUCAUCCUUCCAACCUGGGGACACGAUUAGCACUGCCAGGACAGGUAGCCCCUCUCUUGGCUUUUUUUUUUUUUUUUAAUUUACAGAUUCCCUUUUGUCCCCAUGUGCAUCUCCCUCACCAGUGUGUGAGAUGUGUCUGUAAGUAAGGAUACGAAUGUCCUUAAGAAUAUGUGAUGUCAUUGUGUGUACUGAUGCAUUUCAAGUAAUGCGAAUGGCAUUGGGCUUAAAAAUGAUAUAAAGAAAGAGAGGGGUUUUAAUGGACUGGUCAUGAUAAUUUGCUAUGAAUUCAGGAACUCUUGAAAUGAUUAUGAUGAACUCUCUGCACUAAGGUUAAAAAACAAAAAAACCAGAUCCCUUGACCUUAAGGUCAAGGUUCUCUUCUUCAUAGAGAAAAGGAACAUGAUGAGUGCCCCAUCCUGAAGCCAUCAAGCAGGCUUUAAGGGCCAGAUUUGUUCCAGCAGUAAUAAAUAAUGUUAUCGGUUAUAAGAAUCUAACAUCAGGUACCCUCUUUAUGUAGGAUGCAUUGAGAAUGACCAAACAUAAUAUCCUUGCCAAAAAAUGCAUAAGCUUAAUCUAAUCGUAAGAAAACACCAGACAAACCCAAAUGAGGAACAUUUUACAAAACAAGUUAGCAGUGCUACUCAGAAGUAUCAAAGUCAUGAAAAACAAGAAAAGAGCAAGGAAAUGUCACAGACUGGAAGAAUCUAAGAAGACAUAUAACUAAAUGCAACCCAGGAUCCUGGAUUGAAUACCAAAACAGAAAGAGGACAUUCAUGGGCAAACUAGUAAAAUUACAUAAGUUUUUAGUCUUUUUGUUACAGUACCAAUGUUAAUUUCCAGGUUUUGAUAACUGUACUGUAGUUACGUAAGCUGUUAACAGUAGGGGAAGUCAGAUGAAGAUUAUAAAGGAACUCUCAAUGCUAUUUUUGCAACUUUUCUCUAAGUCUAGGAUUAUUUCAAAAUAAAAUUUUUUUUUUAAAUCUAGGCCUAAUGCCCUUUUGAGGAGUCAAUUUUUGGUGACUGAUUCAAUGUUUAAAUAGUUAUUGGUCUAUCUAAAUUUUCUAUCCCUUCUCUGAAAGUUUUAGUAAUUUAUAUUUUUUUCUCAAGUUUUCCAUUUCAACUAUGUUUUCAGAAUUUGGCAUGAUAUCCAUUUACAUAAUCCCCAAAUAGGUUUUGAGUUCUCUGCUAGGUUUAUAGUUAUAUCACCCUUUUUAUAACUGGCUUUAUUCAUUUGUGGGUCUCUUACUCUGCUUUCUCCUUUGGUUGGGGGCUA
rnacentral:lncRNA from 1 species